rnacentral:lncRNA from 1 species
GUUUUGUUUCAUAACUUUGUAUUAUAGUUUGUUUGCAUCAGGACCCACAUAGGGUUGAUUUAUAUAUUUGAAAUUAGAUGAUAUAUCUCUGAAAUGUCUUUUAAUUUACAGGAAUUCUUUCCCUCUCCCUCCCUCCCUCCUUUCCCACUCCUCCUCUAUUUUCAUUGCAGUUUGUUUGUUGAAGACAACAGUUGUAUGUCCUGUAGGUUUCCAUAUUAUGGAUUUUGUUAAUUGCAUCUCUGAGAAAAGAUCUCGCUCUGUUGCCCAGGCUGGAGUGCAGUGGUGUGAUCACGACUCACCGCAGCCUUGACCUCCCACACUCAAGCAAUCCUCCUGCCUUAGCCUUCCAAGUAGCUGGAACUCCAGGUGGUGGUUAAUUUUAUGUGUCAACCUGGCUGGACCACUGGGUACUCCGAUAUUUGGUCAAACAUUAUUCUGAGUAUUUCUGCAAGGGUGUUUUUGGAUGAGAUGAACAUUUUAAUUGGUGAAGAUUACCCUUCAUAAUGUGGAUGGGCCUCAUUCAAUCAGCUGGAGCCUGAAGAGAAUGAAGAGACGGCCUCUCCCUUACAUGAGAGGGAAUUCUCCAGCAGCCCGCUCUGGGACUUCAUCUAUACCACUGGCUUUCCUGGGUUUCAAACCUGCCAGCCCACACUGCACAUUUGGACUUGCCAAUCUCUGCAACUGUGUGAGCCAAUUCCUUAUGAUAAACCUCUUUCUAUACACACACAUAUUCUUUUUUUUUUUUUUUUUUUUGAGAUGGAGUUUCACUCUUGUUGCCCAAGCUGGAAUGCAGUGGCACCAUCUCGGCUCACUGCAACCUCUGCCUCCCGGGUUCAAGUGAUUCUCCUGCCUCAGCCUCCCAAGUAGCUGGGAUAACAGACACCUGCCACCAUGCCUGACUAAUUUUUUGUAUUUAGUAGAGACGAGGUUUCACCAUGUUAGUCAGGCUGGCCUCCAACUUCUGACAUCAGGUGAUCCACCCACCUCCGCCUCCCAAAGUGCUGGGAUUACAGGUGUAAGCCACCUCGCCCUCCUUACACAAACAUAUUCCAUUAGUUCUGUUUUGUAAUUCUGACUAAUACAGUAACCAUUCUCUUAUUCCCUUCAGGCUAGGGAUAGGAUUGGCUGUAUAGGAUUACUGUAUUUUCCCUUGCGGUUCUCUAACACUCUGUCCACACCUUUGUAAGUAGUCUCUUUAUUAAACCUUCCACUAAUUUUUCUAAUUUGAAUGAGCCAUCUGUUUCCUGUCAGGUUCCUGGCUAAUAGAGACCAUUAUGACGAGUACAUAUCCUUAAAGUCUAAAGUUAAUCACAUAUGCUAAUUACCUCAAUUUAGCCAUUCCACAAUGUAUAUAUAUUUCAAAACAACAUGUACUUGAUAAAUAUAUACUAAUUUUAUUUGUCAAUGUAAUUUUUUUGUUUGUUUGUUUGUUUUUUGAGACGAAGUCUCUGUCGCCAGGCUGGAGUACAGUGGCGCGAUCCCGGCUCAUUGCAACCUCCGACUCCCUGGUUCAAGUGCUUCUCCUGCCUCAGCCUCCCGAGUAGCUGGGAUUGCAAGCAUGUGCCACCACGCCCAGCUAAGUUUUGUAUUUUUAGUAGAGCCGGGGUUUCACCAUGUUGGCCAGGAUGGUCUCGAUCUCUUGACCUCGUGAUCUGCCUGCCUCAGCCUCCCAAAGUGCUGGGAUUACAGGCGUGAGCCACCACGCCCAGCCUUGUCAAUAUAAAAAUUUUUAAAAAUCAUUUAUUUAAAAAAAAAAGGCCAGGAACAGUGGCUUAAGCCUGUAAUCCCAGCACUUUGGGAGGCCAAAGUGGGUGGAUAGUUUGAGUCCAGGAGUUUAAGACCUGGGUAACAUGGCGAAACCCUGUCUCUACCAAAAAUAAAAAAAUUAGCUGAGCAUGGUGGCUCGCACUUGUAGUCACAGCUUUUAGGGAGGCUGAGGUGGGAGAUGUUAGUGAGGAUGUGGAGAAUUUGGAAUUUUGUUUUUAAAAUUUUUAUUUAUUUAUUUAUUUAUUAUUUUUUGAGACAGGUUCUCACUCUGUUGCCCGGGCUGGAGUGCAGUGCCGCAAUCAAAGCUCACUGAAGCCUCGACUUCUGGGGCUCAAGUGAUACUCCUACCUCAGCCUCCCAAGUAGCUGGGACCACAGGCGCAUGCCACCACGCCUGGCUAAUUUUUUAUUUUUUGUAGAGACAGGGUUUUGCCACGUUGCCCAGGCUGGUCUCGAACUACUGCGCUCAAAUGAUCUGCCCGCCUCAGCCUCCCAAAGUGCUGGAUUACAGGCGUGAGCCACCGCGCCCAGCCCUGGAAUUUUCAUCCAUUGCUAGCGGGGAUAUAAAACGGGGUAGCUGGUUUGGAAAACACUUUAUUGGCUUAUCAAAAAUUAAACAUUGCCCAGCCUGGCCAACAUGGCGAAACCCCGUCUCUACUAAAAAUACAAAAAAUUAGCCAGGCAUGGUGGCGCACGCCUGUAAUUGCAGCUACUCGGGAGGCUGAGGCAGAAGAAUUGCUUGAAUCUGGGGGGUGGAGGUUGCAGUGAGCCAAGGUCACGCCACUGCACUUCAGCCUAUAAAUAAAUUAAUUAAAAUUAAAGAUUAAGUUACCAUGUGACCCAGCAAUUCCACUCACCCAAGAGAAAACUAAAAUGAAUUACGUCUACACAAAAGUUUGUACGUCAGUUUGUAACAGCAUUAUUCAUAAUAGCUAAAAGUGGAAACAAUCCUAGCAUUCAUCAACUUACAAAUGAUUAAAAUGUGGAAUAUUCAUACAAUGGCAUAUUACUUGACCACUAAAUGGAAUGACCUACUGAUAAAUGCUGCAACGUGGAUAAACCUUUAAAAAUAUAUGCUAAGUGGAAGAAGCCAGACAUAAAAGGCCACAUACUGUGUGAUUCCUUUUAUAUAAAAUAUCUAGAAUAGAUUAAUCUAUGGAGACAGGAAGUAAAUUAGUGGUUGGCAGGGACCAGGGGCAGGGAAAAUGGGGAGUUACUCUUCAUGGGUAUGGAUUUUUUUGAUGGGUGAUUAAUAUGUUCUGGAAUUAGAUAGUGAUGAUAGUUACACAAUAUUGGGAAUAUACUAAAAACCACUGAAUUGUACUUUAAUAGUGUGAAUUUUAUGGUGUAUGAAUUAUAUCUCAAUUUUUUAAAAAGACCAUAAAAUAAAAAAGAAAACAUAUAUACCCCACACACCCCUCUCCUACCCCUCCCCACCAACCCAUGAAGCAGCAAGUUUGCAAGCCCAGUGUGGUAUAAAUCCAGCCUUGAAAAAUAAAGUUAGCAAAGAAAACAUUCUGCAUGCAGAGAGGUAAGCUAUUCUGUUUAUUGUAUUUUUUACAAACUCCCUU